rnacentral:rRNA from 1 species
GCUUGUCUCAAAGAUUAAGCCAUGCAUGUCUAAGUAUAAACAACUUUAUACAGUGAAACUGCAGAUGGCUCAUUAAAUCAGUUAUAAUUUAUUUGAUGAUUAACUUUACUACAUGGAUAACCGUAGUAAUUCUAGAGCUAAUACAUGCGAAAAGUCCUGACUUCUUCGUGAGGGAGGGAUGUAUUUAUUAGAUACAAUCAAACGCACCAACAUAAAACCUUGGUGAUUCAUAAUAACUUAUCGGAGCUCAUGGCCUUGUGCCGGAGCCAGGUCAUUCAAAUUUCUGCCCUAUCAGCUUUCGAUGGUAGUGUAGUGGACUACCAUGGCUUUAACGGGUGACGGAGAAUUAGGGUUCGAUUCCGGAGAGGGAGCCUGAGAAACGGCUACCACAUCCAAGGAAGGCAGCAGG